AACGAACGCUGGCGGCAUGCCUAACACAUGCAAGUCGAACGAGACCUUCGGGUCUAGUGGCGCACGGGUGCGUAACGCGUGGGAACCUGCCCUUAGGUUCGGAAUAACUCCCCGAAAGGGGUGCUAAUACCGGAUAAUGUCUUCGGACCAAAGAUUUAUCGCCUUUGGAUGGGCCCGCGUUGGAUUAGCUAGUUGGUAGGGUAAAAGCCUACCAAGGCGACGAUCCAUAGCUGGUCUGAGAGGAUGAUCAGCCACACUGGGACUGAGACACGGCCCAGACCCCUAGGGGGGGCAGAAGUGGGGAAAAUGGGAAAAGGGGGGAAAGCCUGAUCCAGCAAGGCCGGGUGGGGGAUGAAGGCCUUAGGGUUGAAAAGCUCUUUUACCCGGGAUGAUAAUGAAAGUACCGGGAAAAUAAGCCCCGGCAAACUCCGU
rnacentral:rRNA from 1 species